GUGGAUAGACACUAUUCACCUUCUUCUUCCACAUCAUAAAGAAAACCUUAGUGCAAACCUUAGCUGCCACCUUCUUCAACCGCCGCUGCAAACUAGCCGUCUAUUCUUACCUUCUCUGUCUUCGUCCAAACCGUCCGAUCGUGUCUUCUCUGUGGACCACCAUGUGUUCGCUGUUCCUCCGUUGAUCGUCGCGUCUUCUCCAUCGGUCGCUGCGUGUUCGUCCAUUCGAUCGCGUCUUCUCCAUCGACCGUCAUGUUUUUGCUAUUUGUCCAUCGAUCGUCGCGUCUUCUCCGUCGGCCGCUGCAUGUUUGUUCGUUUGAUCGCGUCUUCUUCAUCAGCUGUCGAGCCCAACUCGUCGUAACAUUUUCGUAAGUCGUCUGAGCCAUAGACAAGCCAUCUGUUGUUCGUCUGUCGUCCGAUCGAGCCAAUCUCUAAGCUGUCAGCCAAACCUCAUCUUGACCAUUCUGUCAGGAUUAUACUUUUGGAUUAAGCUAAUCUCCAGGAAAAAAUAAGAAUUAUUUGGAUCGAUAUAUUGUCUACUUGAUUUUUUGGGUUGAAUUUGAUACAAGAGGAACUACAACACUUCCCAAUCCUCAUGGGCUUCCGAAGUUGCAAAAAAGAAGAAGCCUUUGUGGAGGGUAAUCAAGAUAUGGGGAUGAGGAUUUAGUAAAAGAAAGAGUUGAAGAAUCCAAGGACCAUGGUACCGAUCAAGUUCCCAUUUAUGCGUCAGUUUAAUUAGGUUAUGUCACACAUCCAUGUAAUAUUAUAGUUAAUUUAUCUUUUGGAUUAUUGUAAAACCUUUAUCGACA